GCAAUGAGAGUUGUGCUAAGGUAGCGUGAUAAGUUGUCUUUUAAUUGGAGAAUGGUAUGAAUGGUUUCACGUAGGAUUUCUGUCUUUAUGGAAUAGCAUGAAGUUUCCUUUUAAGUGAAAAGGCUUAAAUUUUUGUAAAAGAAGAGAAGACCCUGUCGAGCUUAAUUAAUAUUAUUUGUUGUUGGUAAUUAAAAUUUUUGUUGGGGCAAUAUAAAUCAAGAUAGCGGUUUAAUAUAAAAUUUAGAUCCUUUAGUGAGAGAAAAUAGCAGAAGCUACCGCAGGGAUAACAGCGUUAUCCUUUCUGGGAGAUCGAAUUGAGGGAAGGGUUUGCGACCUCGAUGUUGGAUUAU
rnacentral:rRNA from 1 species